GGUGGUUGCUAAGGUGUUGCAAUGGUAUCCGGGGUGGUUGCUAAGGUGUUGCUAGGUGGUUGCUAGGCGGUUGCUUAGGUGUUGCUAUGGUAUCCGGGGUGGUUGCUACGGUGUUUCUAAGUGGUUGCUAAGGUGUUGCUAGGUGGUUGCUAAGGUGUUGCUAUGGUAUCCAGGGUGGUUGCUAAGGUGUUGCUAGGUGGUUGCUAAGGUGUUGCUAUGGUAUCCAGGGUGGUUGCUAAGGUGUUGCUAGGUGGUUGCUAGGUGGUUGCUAGGGUGUUGCUAGGUGGUUGCUAAGGUGUUGCUAUGGUAUCCAGGGUGGUUGCAAAGGUGUUGCUAGGUGGUUGCUAGGGUGUUGCUAGGUGGUUGCUAAGGUGUUGCUAGGUGGUUGCUAAGGUGUUGCUAUGGUAUCCAGGGUGGUUGCUAAGGUGUUGCUAGGUGGUUGCUAAGGUGUUGCUAGGUGGUUGCUAAGGUGUUGCUAUGGUAUCCGGGGUGGUUGCUAAGGUGUUGAUAGGUGGUUGCAAGGUGGUUGCUAAGGUGUUGCUAGGUGGUUGCUAGGGUGUUGCUAGGUGGUUGCUAAGGUUUUGCUAGGUGGUUGCUAAGGUGUUGCUAUGCUAUCCAGGGUGGUUGCUAAGGUGUUGCUAGGUGGUUGCUAAGGUGUUGCUAUGGUGUCUGUGGUGGUUGCUAAGGUGUUGCUAGGUGGUUGCUAAGAUGUUGCUAUGGUAUCUGGGGUGGUUGCUAAGGUGUUGCUAGGUGUAUCUGACUGGUCGCUAGGCAGUUGCUACCAUUUCUAAAGUGGUUGCUAAGCAGUUGCUAAUGUUUUCCAGGUGGUUGCUAAGGUGUUGCUAUCUGGUUGCUAGGCAGUUGCUAACGUAUUACACAUGGUUGCUAAGUGGUUGCUAGGCAGUUGCUAAUGUUUUCCAGGUGGUUGCUAAGGUGUAUCUAACUGGUUGCUAGGCAGUAGUAGAUAAAAAGAAAGAGUGUUAAAUGUAGAAGUACAGAAAAAGGGAGAGCCUGAAAUAGAGAAGUAGAGAGAAAAUCAGCGUGAGAAGUAGAGAAAGAACACCCGAGAAUAUGAGAAAAAGAGUGACAAGUAGAGAGAAAUAUUGAGCGAGAGAAAGAGAAUUAGGGAAAAAGAGAGAUCGAGAAAUAAAGAAGUAGAGAAAGAAAGAGGAUGUAGUAGAGAGAUAGAUAGAAAGAGAAAGCAAGACAGAA